rnacentral:lncRNA from 14 species
AUGCUCACGGGUCUGCCCGUUCUUGGAGAUACCAGCUUCAAAUUCACCAACACCAGCAGCAACAAUCAGGACAGCACGAUCAGCCUGAGAUGUGCCUGUAAUCAUGUUCUUGAUGAAGUCUCUGUGUCCUGGGGCAUCAAUGACAGUCACAUAGUACUUGCUGGUCUCAAAUUUCCACAGGGAGAUGUCAAUAGUGAUACCACGCUCACGCUCAGCCUUCAGUUUGUCCAGGACCCAGGCAUACUUGAAGGAACCUUUUCCCAUCUCCGCAGCCUCCUUCUCAAACUUUUCGAUGGUUCUUUUGUCGAUUCCACUACAUUUGUAGAUCAGGUGGCCAGUUGUGGUGGACUUGCCGGAAUCUACGUGUCCAAUUACGACCAUGUUGAUACUUCCGCUCCAGCACCGGUCCUGACAGGGGUCGUUUGUCCCAUUGACUUAAGGAUGCAAGUGAAUUUUCAGUUUCAUGGGAUAAGAAGACAAUACAACAACGGUUUACAAAGCUCAUGCCAAAAAUGAAGACAAGCAGUUUAGACGAAAAGGAGGUCAAGUCUGCCUUCUAAUUACAUGAGCUCUGUAUCUCACUCAACUAAGUUAUGUGGGUCACACAUUCAAGUCAGUAUUUCAUCCCUACAGAAUCAAUACGAAAACAAGCAUAGACAUUCUCCAUGCAGCAAACCUGAGCUCCAUAAAUAGCUAAAGACAAUGCUGUUAUCUCCAAAGAUUGAGCGAAUCUUCCUUCUUUUAUCCUGUUGUCUACUGUGUGUCUAAAGUUAG